rnacentral:rRNA from 1 species
AACGUAGGAGACGACCGUUAUCCGGAGUUACUGGGCGUAAAGGGCGUGCAGGCGGUCUGAUAAGUUCGGCGUGAAAUAUUCCGGCUUAACCGGGAUAGGUCGUCGGAGACUGUCGGACUAGAGGGUGAUAGAGGCGUGUGGAAUUCCGGGUGUAGUGGUGAAAUGCGUAGAGAUCCGGAGGAACACCAGUGGCGAAGGCGACACGCUGGGUCACACCUGACGCUAAAGCGCGACAGCAUGGGGAGCGAACGGG